rnacentral:lncRNA from 1 species
UAUCAACUAUUUUAUUAUAGAUAUUAUAACUAGAAGAAAAAGAUAGAACACGUUACGCAAAUUAUAUAAAUAAAAAUAGUUUUUCUCAAACCCCACUUAUAAAAAUAAAUAAAUAAAUAAAUAUAUAUAUAUAUAUAUAUAUAUAUAAAAUUGAGCUUCUAUGUUUUUAAAAGUACCAAGUCAUUGGUGCUUGUAAGUUUUCGGCCCUUGGAUUAAAGGAUGUGCGGUUAGGAUGAUAUGGGUCCCCUAAGGUUGAGUGGGUGGUUGGUUGAAUAGUAUAAUCUAACGGGUAAAAAUGAUCAAAGGUAGAGAUCUAACGGUACAAAAUUUACAAGCACCAAGUGCUUAGUACUUUUACAAGUAUCGUAGCCGGACUCUAUAUAUAUAUAUAUAUAUAUAUAUAUAUAUAUAUAUAUAUUCUUUUAUUUUUACUUUUUAUUUUAUAGCUCUCAAUACUAUACAUAUCCUCUUAAAUAAAAAAGAACAAAAAAUAUCUUAACAUCUCUCUUAAGAAAAAAGGGUUAAUUUCAUACAGGUCCCCGCAAAUAUAGUAAAUUACAAAUAUAUUCUUGCAAAGUUCAACUUUCAUAAGUUAUUUCUACAAAAGUUCUAAUGCAUUCAGAUAUGUCUCUAUGGUUAUGAUCCGUUAGAGAAUUGUUUAUUUUUUAACAGUCGGCUCGUGAAAUGACAUUUUUGCUCUCACAAGUAUGUCCCUCCAAAAGCCCUCUCAAUUUUUGCCCUUUUCCUCUUUCGCUUUCUUCUCGGGCUACGGGAGCGGGCAGCGACGAACGACUCCGGCAACGUCGCGGAGCUUGUCGGAGUUAUGGCCGACGAGGACAAGAUUAAGGCCUGCAACGGCGAGGCGGAAGGCGAAGGUGCGACCGAUUCGGAAGCACUCGUGACGACGGCCCUCGCAAGCACGACGAUUGGAUCUUCGACGACGACAAAGAAGAAGGAGGAGAAAAGGAGGAGGAAAAGGAGGAUAUGAAGAAGAAGCAAAAGAGGAAGAAGGAGAAGAAGAACGGUAAAAUUGCCAAUUCACCUUAUUAAUUAACUAUGAUUAAGUAUUUUAACCGUGGUUAAUUAAAUUUUUUAACUGAAUCUAACGGCAGGGGCAUAUUUGAAUACAUUAGGACUUUUAUAGGAAUAAUUUAUGAAAAUUAAAUUUUGUAAGAAUAUAUGUGUAAUUCACCAUGUUUACACCUGUAUGCAAUUAAUCCAAAAACAAACAAAAAAUAUCUUAACUUUUUCCCACCGACUUGCAAAGAUACUAAGUUACAACAUAAUUAUAUAAAAAAAAUUUCUUGUGAGAUGAAUAAUAUAAAAUAUUUAAUUGGGGCCAGGGUUGGUUACCAUGUCUUAUUCAAAAAGCCCUAAUAAAUUAUUUCAAUAAUAAUCACCCUCUCAAAAUGAGCUCUUAAUCCUAUACAUCAAACACCAACACUAUCCACAAAUAUGUUGCCACGUGUUCAAUAGUUGCAUUUAACAUCUUAAAUUGUUCACAAAUCCAUCAAAAAAUUGUUUCACAAAAUCCCCCAGUACACAAUCUCCCACUUUCUCCUCCUUUUGGUCUCUCUAUCUCUCUCUCUCUCUCUCUCUCUCUCUCUUUCUCUCUCUCUCUCUAUAUAUAUCUUUCUCUCUCUCUCUGCUGCAACACUCAGAUUAUUUCAUGGACCCAGUGUAUUCAUAUAUGUUAUUAUAUACCUUAAGACUAAUUCUAAACUAUUUCCUACAAAAUUAAUUUUUAGAUAACAUGAUAUCAGAAUUAAUUCUUAAGUCUCCUUUCGUUUAAGACGUCAUAAGUUUAGUUCUACAUCCAUCGUUUUAUGGCUAUUACAAUUGGACUGUUUUUUUCAUUAUCUUUUUCAAUCAGUACGCGUGAUUCGGUUUAUUUAAUUUGGAUCAAUUUUUUUGAUAAUAUUACUGCUUCAUUAUUUACUUUAGUUUUUUGAUCGAUACACGUGACAUUAUCUUAUUAUCUCUUCAGUUAUCUCUUUCAUCAGUGUAAUUCAUAUAGUUCACAUUAUAUGUACGAUGUACAAUUGGGAGUAUUAAGACUAAUUCAAAAUA